UUUGAGGAUUACUUUAUUUGGGCCACUUGCAUUGUGUGACGCCCCGUGUUAUUCUUUUAUGUCGUGUCUUGUUGCAUCUGUUAAGACGAUUCCUUGCCCGACAUGAACCCCGUAUAGCGCUUUUUUGCGAAAGGGUUGGGGCCUGCUUUGGCAAAGUGGUGUUUGAUAGUUUUGACAGCAUCGUCGCCAUCUUUGAUAUAGACAAGGACGGGGAUCUCGAUUGUUUGAGUGGUGCACGCACAUACUACGACAAGCAUUCGUCAACCGCUACCUACGUCUGGUUUCUUAAAGGUUUAAAUGGCCACAAAGCUCAAAACAUCUCGUAUGAAGUUCGUCCAGGACGUAAACCUAACCAGUUUCUCGUCAAAAAUCAAGACACGCCUGGUCACAGGAAGCAUGACCUCCAUGGCUUGUUGAGGAAGGAAGCUUUAAUAAAGAGAGAGCAACGGUCCAAGCGUAUUGUGGGAGGAGACGUCGGCACAAAUGGAACUUCUUCAAGAGAGUACGUUCAAUAAUAGAAGUGACUUCAGGCUCCUCACGAAAGACAUAUAAAAGCUUCCGUUCUUCUUGCUGGCAUGGCAGCCGAUGAACCUGUUCAAGAGGGCACUUAUGACUACACAGACUACAAGAGCUGCGUCGUCAUGGAAAUGCCUUACCAUGACAGUGAAGAAUGCGUCCUGUGGGUCACCUGGAAUGUCGUCAACGACAUCCCACAAGAUUGCCAAGAUCAAUACGAAGACAACUGCGACGAUGCAAAGCUGGCUUAUGACAAAGAGUCCUGUGGUGCCUUCGAAAAUUUUAACUAAAUAAAUCUGCCAUACUUGCCGCAACUAA
rnacentral:misc_RNA from 1 species